CCAUGCCCACUCAAGUGGCAACAAUCUUCCUUUCUUAUUGUUUAGUAGAAUUAUCAAGCUCACUUGAAGAUUUCUACAGGCACCAAGCAGAGCCAAGCUGUGAGGAAGCAGAAUGUUGGCUGGAUAUUCAUAAAAUGGCUAUAAGUUCCAUGAGAUGAGGAACUGCAUCAGUUUUUGUCCAUCAUUGCCUCCCUAGUACUUUGCACAUGGUGGCUCCUGAAGAGAGAGUGAUCAUGAGAGCAUUCAACAAAUUGAAGAGGGGCAGAGAAAAAGGGAGACACAGAAUCUGAAGCAGGGUCCAGGCUCUGAACUGUCAGCACAGAGCCUGAUACAAGACUUGAACCCACGAACCACAGGAUCAUGACCUGAGCCAAAGUCAGACGCUUAACAGACUGAGCCACCCAGGUGUCCCUUGCUAUUAUUUUCUAAGUAGGCUUUAGCCUACAUCUUGUAUCAUUUUUGACCCAGGUAUUCUUUUGUAGAAUGUUUUUCUUUGUAAAAAUUCCAAAUGGCUAAAGUGUUAUUACUGUUAUUGUGAAAACAUUUAUGUCAGUUCCUAAUUUCACACCAUUAAUUUACUAAAUAAUGUGGCUUAUGCUAUUUAUAGUUGAAAAUAUGUGGAUUUUUUAUGAUGUAAUUUAAAAAGUUAUAACUAUUCUGUGGAUAGUGAAAAGAUGGUGUAUACUUUGUUGAGAAUUUAUUACAUCAUCCUUUGACAUCAUUUAAAGUCCUCUAUUUUACAUAUUUAGUUGAUUCAUUGAUACAAACUGAUAUCUCAUAUUAUCAUAUUCUUGGCAACUGACCUUAUAUUGAAAUCUUUUUUAUCAAAAACAAAUCACAAAAUAAAUCUGUUUUAUUUUACAGAUUGCAAUAUGUGCUAUUUAGUAAUUAACAGUUUUAACUCUAUAUUAUUUUGAACAGAACACUUUAGCAGAAUGAAAUUCCCCUGUCAGAGGUACAUCUCUUUGCCUUUAGUUCUGCUUUAUAUAAUAUUAAAAUUAUCACCUUGA